GCGUGCUUAACACAUGCAAGUCGAACGGGAAGGCCCCGCUUUUGUGGGGUGCUCGAGUGGCGAACGGGUGAGUAACACGUGAGUAACCUGCCCUUGACUUUGGGAUAACUUCAGGAAACUGGGGCUAAUACCGGAUAGGAGCUCCUGCUGCAUGGUGGGGGUUGGAAAGUUUCGGCGGUUGGGGAUGGACUCGCGGCUUAUCAGCUUGUUGGUGGGGUAGUGGCUUACCAAGGCUUUGACGGGUAGCCGGCCUGAGAGGGUGACCGGCCACAUUGGGACUGAGAUACGGCCCAGACUCCUACGGGAGGCAGCAGUGGGGAAUAUUGCACAAUGGGCGGAAGCCUGAUGCAGCAACGCCGCGUGCGGGAUGACGGCCUUCGGGUUGUAAACCGCUUUCGCCUGUGACGAAGCGUGAGUGACGGUAAUGGGUAAAGAAGCACCGGCUAACUACGUGCCAGCAGCCGCGGUGAUACGUAGGGUGCGAGCGUUGUCCGGAUUUAUUGGGCGUAAAGGGCUCGUAGGUGGUUGAUCGCGUCGGAAGUGUAAUCUUGGGGCUUAACCCUGAGCGUGCUUUCGAUACGGGUUGACUUGAGGAAGGUAGGGGAGAAUGGAAUUCCUGGUGGAGCGGUGGAAUGCGCAGAUAUCAGGAGGAACACCAGUGGCGAAGGCGGUUCUCUGGGCCUUUCCUGACGCUGAGGAGCGAAAGCGUGGGGAGCGAACAGGCUUAGAUACCCUGGUAGUCCACGCUGUAAACGGUGGGUACUAGGUGUGGGGUCCAUUCCACGGGUUCCGUGCCGUAGCUAACGCUUUAAGUACCCCGCCUGGGGGAGUACGGCCGCAAGGCUAAAACUCAAAGGAAUUGACGGGGCCCCGCACAAGCGGCGGAGCAUGCGGAUUAAUUCGAUGCAACGCGUAGAACCUUACCUGGGUUUGACAUGGAUCGGGAGUGCUCAGAGAUGGGUGUGCCUCUUUUGGGGUCGGUUCACAGGUGGUGCAUGGCUGUCGUCAGCUCGUGUCGUGAGAUGUUGGGUUAAGUCCCGCAACGAGCGCAACCCUUGUUCACUGUUGCCAGCACGUUAUGGUGGGGACUCAGUGGAGACCGCCGGGGUCAACUCGGAGGAAGGUGGGGAUGACGUCAAGUCAUCAUGCCCCUUAUGUCCAGGGCUUCACGCAUGCUACAAUGGCUGGUACAGAGAGUGGCGAGCCUGUGAGGGUGAGCGAAUCUCGGAAAGCCGGUCUCAGUUCGGAUUGGGGUCUGCAACUCGACCUCAUGAAGUCGGAGUCGCUAGUAAUCGCAGAUCAGCAACGCUGCGGUGAAUACGUUCCCGGGGCUUGUACACACCGCCCGUCAAGUCAUGAAAGUUGGUAACACCCGAAGCCGGUGGCCUAACCGUUGUGGGGGAGCCGUCGAAGGUGGGACUGGUGAUUAGGACUAAGU
rnacentral:rRNA from 1 species